rnacentral:rRNA from 1 species
ACCCGCUGAACUUAAGCAUAUCAAUAAGCGGAGGAAAAGAAACCAACAGGGAUUGCCUCAGUAACGGCGAGUGAAGCGGCAAGAGCUCAAAUUUGAAAUCUGGCGCCUUCGGUGCUCGAGUUGUAAUUUGAAGAGGAUGCCUCGGUUGCAGCCACAGCCUAAGUUCCUUGGAACAGGACGUCGCAGAGGGUGAGAAUCCCGUACGCGGUUGGCGGCUCGCUUCCAUGUGUGGCUCCUUCGAAGAGUCGAGUUGUUUGGGAAUGCAGCUCAAAAUGGGUGGUAAAUUUCAUCUAAAGCUAAAUACUGGCGAGAGACCGAUAGCGCACAAGUAGAGUGAUCGAAAGAUGAAAAGCACUUUGAAAAGAGAGUUAAACAGUACGUGAAAUUGUUGAAAGGGAAGCGCUUGCGAUCAGACUUGCUAGCGGUUGAUCAACGUUCCUUCUGGUUCGUGCACUCUUCCGUCUGCAGGCCAGCAUCGGUUAGAGCGGUGGGACAAAAGCUGCGGGAAUGUGGCUCCUCGGAGUGUUAUAGCCCGCUGCAUAAUGCCACCAGUUCUGACCGAGGUCCGCGCUUUGGCUAGGAUGCUGGCUUAAUGGUCGUAAGCGACCCGUCUUGAAACACGG